AGAGAGGAGAAAACUAGAAAAGCACAAUGAAGAAGGUAGCGGCUGUUCAUUUGUAAGGACUUUGAAAACAAGCAAACAGACAACAAGCAAAACCAGAUUUACCUUUCCAUAAAUCCAAGGUGGUUGUGAUUUAACUUCAGCCGGAAACUCAGCCCCAUAGAGCUGCUCACUCAGUCCUCUACCAGCACCAUGGGGUGGAGAAUCAGGAGGGGAGCCAAAGGAAGGAGAGGGAGGUGCAAUGGCAGAUGGCAACCCACAAGGAGGCGAGAACUGCAUACUGCACUUUGGCACUCCGUGACAAGGACAACUUUACAGUAACC